UAUACUUCAUUUUCUUUAGUACGAAAGGAUCAAGAAAAUAGGACCAAUCUUAAAAAGAAGUCCUCACAAUAACUGAAUAAAAAUAAAGUUCACAACAUAAUUACAACCCAAGACAUGGGUUA
rnacentral:rRNA from 1 species